rnacentral:rRNA from 1 species
CUCAACCGGGGAACAGCGCAUGAAACUGGCGAACUAGAGUACGGAAGAGGGAGGUGGAAUUCCAGGUGUAGCGGUGAAAUGCGUAGAUAUCUGGAGGAACACCGGUGGCGAAGGCGGCCUCCUGGUCCGAUACUGACGCUGAGACGCGAAAGCGUGGGUAGCAAACAGGAUUAGAUACCCUGGUAGUCCACGCUGUAAACGAUGGGCACUAGGUGUCCGGGGUAUUGACCCCCUGGGUGCCGCAGUUAACGCAUUAAGUGCCCCGCCUGGGGACUACGGUCGCAAGACUAAAACUCAAAGGAAUUGACGGGGGCCCGCACAAGCGGUGGAGCAUGUGGUUCAAUUCGACGCAACGCGAAGAACCUUACCUGGGCUAGACAACGGUGGACCGCCCCAGAGAUGGGGUUUUCCCUUCGGGGACUG